rnacentral:rRNA from 1 species
UACGGGGGGGGCAAGCGUUGUUCGGAAUUCCUGGGCGUAAAGGGCUCUUAGGCGGCCAACUAAGUCAGACGUGAAAUCCCUCGGCUUAACCGGGGAACGGCGUCUGAUACUGGAUGGCUUGAAUCCGGGAGAGGGAUGCGGAAUUCCAGGUGUAGCGGUGAAAUGCGUAGAUAUCUGGAGGAACACCGGUGGCGAAGGCGGCAUCCUGGACCGGUAUUGACGCUGAGGAGCGAAAGCCAGGGGAGCAAACGGG